UACGGAGGGUGCAAGCGUUAUCCGGAUUCACUGGGUUUAAAGGGUGCGUAGGUGGGUUGGUAAGUCAGUGGUGAAAUCUCCAGGCUUAACUUGGAAACUGCCAUUGAUACUAUCAAUCUUGAAUACCGUGGAGGUCAGCGGAAUAUGUCAUGUAGCGGUGAAAUGCUUAGAUAUGACAUAGAACACCAAUUGCGAAGGCAGCUGGCUACACGAAUAUUGACACUGAUGCACGAAAGCGUGGGGAGUCAAACACGGGAAUUAGACUAACCCUUGU
rnacentral:rRNA from 1 species